UUACUUCCUGGUGACAAUAUUUGCAUGU
rnacentral:sRNA from 1 species